rnacentral:rRNA from 1 species
GGGCAGACUAGAGUGCGGUAGGGGAGAUUGGAAUUCCUGGUGUAGCGGUGGAAUGCGCAGAUAUCAGGAGGAACACCGAUGGCGAAGGCAGAUCUCUGGGCCGUAACUGACGCUGAGGAGCGAAAGCAUGGGGAGCGAACAGGAUUAGAUACCCUGGUAGUCCAUGCCGUAAACGUUGGGAACUAGAUGUGGGGGCCAUUCCACGGUCUCCGUGUCGCAGCUAACGCAUUAAGUUCCCCGCCUGGGGAGUACGGCCGCAAGGCUAAAACUCAAAGGAAUUGACGGGGGCCCGCACAAGCGGCGGAGCAUGCGGAUUAAUUCGAUGCAACGCGAAGAACCUUACCAAGGCUUGACAUAUACCGGAAACGUCCAGAGAUGGUCGCCCCGCAAGGUCGGUAUACAGGUGGUGCAUGGUUGUCGUCAGCUCGUGUCGUGAGAUGUUGGGUUAAGUCCCGCAACGAGCGCAACCCUCGUUCUAUGUUGCCAGCACGUUAUGGUGGGAACUCAUAGGAGACUGCCGGGGUCAACUCGGAGGAAGGUGGGGAUGACGUCAAAUCAUCAUGCCCCUUAUGUCUUGGGCUUCACGCAUGCUACAAUGGCCGGUACAAAGGGCUGCGAUACCGUAAGGUGGAGCGAAUCCCAAAAAGCCGGUCUCAGUUCGGAUUGAGGUCUGCAACUCGACCUCAUGAAGUCGGAGUCGCUAGUAAUCGCAGAUCAGCAACGCUGCGGUGAAUACGUUCCCGGGCCUUGUACACACCGCCCGUCAAGUCAUGAAAGUCGGUAACACCCGAAGCCAGUGGCCUAACCCUGUGGAUGAGCGUGAAGUGAUCGAGUCCCCUCC